UGACUUAUUAGUUGACUCUCUCUCUCUCUCUCUCUCUCUCUCACAAACGGUAACUUAGGAACCAAGGACUUCACCCAAAAGCCCAAAAAAGAAAAUUAAAAUUAUUAUUUUUUAAAAAUUAGGGUUUUGUGCUCCAAAUCCGAUAUUUCGUAUUUCGGUUCUCUCAGCCUCAGCGCCUCACAGGUGAUUAAUUUCUGAGGGAAAGUUUCUAAACAAGCACCAGUAGUUCAGUUGUCACAUUCUUUUUUUUUACUACAUUUUUAAGUGGGAGAGGGGGAGUUGACCUUGGACAUCUCCAUUGGAAACACCAGGCAACACCAUUGAGCUACAAGGCUCUUGGUGUCACUUUGGAAUUUUUUGGAUCUUCUUCCAUUGAGAAGUUUUUUAUCAGCAGGGGAUUUCAAGAAUUUGCAAUAUGACAGAUGAGGCUCCAAGCUAUACACGAAAGUGGUAUUUCAGUAGAAAAGAAAUUGAAGAUCAAUCCCCUUCCAGGAAGGAUGGAAUUGAUUUCAAGUAUGAGUCACACUUGCGGGAGUCAUAUUGCCAAUUUCUUCAGAAGCUUGGCAAGAAGAUUAAUGUGCCUCAGGUGACAAUAGCAGGUGGAAUGCUGUUGUGCCAUCGGUUUUAUAUACGUCAAUCUCAUGCUAAGAAUGAUUGGCAGACAAUUGCAACUGCAAGCAUGUUUCUUGCUUCCAAAAUGGAGGAGACACCACGAUUCCUGAAGGAUGUCGUUAUUGCGGGUUAUGAGUUGAUGUAUGAAUGGGACAAUUUAGCCCAGCAAAGAAUAAAGAAACAAAGUGAGGUUUUUGAUAAGCAGAAGGAAUUAAUCUUACUUGGGGAGAGACUUCUGUUGUCAACAAUUGCAUUUGAUCUCGAUAGUCAACUUCCAUACAAGCCUCUUGUUGCAGCACUAAAGACAUUGGAGCUGUCUGACCUUUCUAAAGUAGCAUGGAAUUUUGUGAAUGAUUCGCUUCGGACGACAUUGUGCUUGCAGUAUAAACCUCAUUAUAUUGCUGCUGGUUCCAUCUUCCUUGCUGCCACUGUUUUACAAAAUAUGGAGCUGCUUACAAAGAAGAGAAAGGUUUGGUGGCUGGAGUUUGAAGUAGCACCGAAACAGUUAAAAGAGGUCAUCCAGCAGAUGAUGCUCAAGUUGUUAAAGCAAGACCGAAAAAAAGCACCACGAACUGCAUGUGGGAGGAACACUCAAUCUGAAGCUUUAGCUCAAAAGUCAGUGGUUAGUAGCAAUCAAACAUACAUUUCAAGUGGAUCAACUUCUGAUUGCCAUUCUAGCCAUGGAACCCUGGUGGAGGCUGGAGGUGUAAAGUCUAAUAGUAGCCUGAAUCAGGAAAAAGUUGACAACUGUCUUAGUGUGAAAGAAGCUUUACCAUGUCAGAUGAGUGAUGGUGGUAGUGCUAGUAGUGUUGUUGAGGAUGGUGAUGGUCAAAUCGAGCCACAAAGAGUGGAGUCUGAUUGCAACUCGAGCUAUAAGAUUGUUUCUGUUCAUAAUAACCAUACGAAGAUCGACACUAACAGGAUCAGAGAGGCAAUUAAAAGGAGACGUGACACAGCAGCAAACAAGAAGUUUGUAGAAGAGGUAAAUGCUGAGAUAGAUAGUGAAGCCUGGAUAGAGAGAGAGCUGGAACAUGGAAUAGAGCAAGAGUAUUCUUCUUCAAUAAAAAAACAGAGGAAGGUGUGAGCUUUUGAACUUAAAUUGGAGUUUCAUGCCACUACAGACAUCUUGCUCUGUGUGUUGCGUGUGUGUGUCCUUUGACAGAGAAAGGGGUUUCCAACACAUUUGUAUUGCUGCUUCUUUUAGUAGGAGAGUCAAGGCUAUAUUACUAGUAUAAUACAAGGAUGUUGGGGAAAAUGACAAAUCUGAUAUCUCUUUUCAAACUUCUAUAUACAUGAGUUUACGUCAUGUUAAAUCUGGAUCCACCAAAACAAGUGUGCUGACCAAGAAAAGUGAGUCAACGCAAAUUGAAGAUUUUCCCAUCGUCAAACCCUAGUACGGCCUUAGGGUUUCACAUGAAUCACCGACCUUUUACAUUCAUGGAUUCCACUAGCCUCCAGAGGUCAUCCAGCAGAUAUUAGGCUGUUACUGAAAAGAAGCUUUUCCAUGUUGUUGAGAUUGGUGAUGAUGACAUCAAACCAAAAACAGGGGAAUUUGAUAGGAACUCAAGCUAUAAGAUUUUUUCUAUUCAUACCAACUGUAGCAAGAUUGAAACUAACCAGAUUCGAGAGAUAUUGCAAUGAGAUGUGAUAAGGCUGCAAUAAGGAGUUUGUGGAAGCCAUAAAUGCUGACUUAGAUAGUGAAGCCAAGGUAGAGAUAGAGACGGAAAUGGAAUAGAGCUUCAAUAUUCUCCUCCAAAACCCAAUGUGUUGUUAGCUUUAUAACUUGAACGGGAGUUACACCACUACUGCACUACAGGCAUGUUGCUCAGCAAUUCUACAAACUUUGUGAGUACUAAAUAGACUUAAUAUUAUUCGAGUUAUUUUUUAUAUGAUCCUAUUGCUGCGUUAUAUAUAGUCCAAAAUUUCUAUAUUACCAUUAUUAACAUCUUACAUUCUUAGGUUUAUUUUUGGGCCAUUGUUGAAUAAUUUAUGACACCCCGUAAAUUGUUUGUGUGUGUGUGAGAGAGAGGCAUUUUAGAAUUGGACCCAACAAAACCCUUCUUGUCCGCUCUCCACGUAAUUCUUGGCACCUUAAUAAAAUAAAAUUAGCCCGAACAAAAAAAAAAAAAAAA